rnacentral:rRNA from 1 species
AAUAGAUACCCCGGUAGUCCACGCCGUAAACGAUGGAUACUAGCUGUUCGUCCGCCUCGGCGGAUGAGUGGCUAAGCGAAAGUGAUAAGUAUCCCACCUGGGGAGUACGAACGCAAGUUUGAAACUCAAAGGAAUUGACGGGGGCCCGCACAAGCGGUGGAGCACGUGGUUUAAUUCGAUGAUACGCGAGGAACCUUACCAAGGCUUAAAUGUAGAUUGACAGGACUGGAAACAGUUUUUUCUUCGGACAAUUUACAAGGUGCUGCAUGGUUGUCGUCAGCUCGUGCCGUGAGGUGUCAGGUUAAGUCCUAUAACGAGCGCAACCCCUGUUGUUAGUUGCCAGCGAGUCAAGUCGGGAACUCUAACAAGACUGCCAGUGUAAACUGUGAGGAAGGUGGGGAUGACGUCAAAUCAUCACGGCCCUUACGCCUUGGGCUGCACACGUGCUACAAUGGCCGGUACAGAGAGCAGCCACUGCGCGAGCAGGAGCGAAUCUAUAAAAACCGGUCACAGUUCGGAUCGGAGUCUGCAACUCGA